rnacentral:rRNA from 1 species
UACGGAGGGUGCGAGCGUUAAUCGGAAUUACUGGGCGUAAAGCGUGCGUAGGUGGUUUGAUAAGUUAUCUGUGAAAUUCCUGGGCUUAACCUGGGCAGGUCAGAUAAUACUGUUGGACUCGAGUAUGGGAGAGGGUAGUGGAAUUUCCGGUGUAGCGGUGAAAUGCGUAGAGAUCGGAAGGAACACCAGUGGCGAAGGCGGCUACCUGGCCUAAUACUGACACUGAGGCACGAAAGCGUGGGGAGCAAAC